UACGUAGGGUGCGAGCGUUGUCCGGAAUUACUGGGCGUAAAGGGCGCGUAGGCGGUUCGCUAAGUUGAAUGUGAAAACUCUGGGCCUAACCCAGAGCCUGCAUUCAAUACUGGCGGGCUAGAGUUCUGGAGGGGAUAGCGGAAUUCCUGGUGUAGCGGUGAAAUGCGUAGAUAUCAGGAGGAACACCGGUGGCGAAGGCGGCUAUCUGGACAGAGUCUGACGCUGAGGCGCGAAAGCUAGGGGAGCAAACAGG
rnacentral:rRNA from 1 species